rnacentral:miRNA from 1 species
AAGAGAACUGAAAGUGGAGCCU